UGGCGUGGCUUCUAAUCCAGUAUUUGUGGAAGUUAUCACUAAGACCAGAAGCUAAAACAUAGUGCUAUCAUAAAGUAAAAAUUUUGAAUUUGUAUAUAAUUGUAUUUAGAUAUGUAUUGCUUUUUUUUUUUUUUUUUUUUUUUUUUUUUUUUGUUCUCUUUCUUUUCUAAUAUAAUUUUUCUUCUUUUUUUCAUCAUUCUAGGGUACAGCAGUUGGCCAUUUGACGGUCAGCUACAUCUUAUUUAUUUGUUCCUUCAUCUCUUUGAUAGCACUCAUUGUAACCCUCGGCAUCUUCUGCUACUUCAAAUCCCUGCAGUGUUCUCGACUCAAAGUUCAUCAGAACCUGGUAGUUUCCCUCAUAAUCCACUCAAUACUGCUCAUGAUCAUUCCUUCUACCGUCAUUUUCCGUUCUUCGUUCUUGACAUACACGGAUAUAGAAUGGCUGUGCAAACUUCUUAUGUGUAUUAAAAUGUAUGCAGCAAUGGCUAGUAUAAACUGGAUGUUCGUAGAAGGGUUGUUGCUUCAUAGUCGGAUCACUGUGUCCGUGUUCCAA